UUGAUGAUCACCCACAUGAUUCAUCUCGCCAUCGAAGAAAACCCUUCUCCGCCGAUAUGGGCCCGGAGGAGGAUGUUCGCUCAUCGGUCUUCUUGGCGAAGCCUUCCGUCGCUCCCUCGUCCAGCUUCGCAUCAGCGACGCCCUUUCCCCCCUCCUUCCCCGCUGACAAGAAAUCGAAUACAGGUUUUUCUGUUCGAUUGGUGGUUGAUUAAAGCGGAAAGCGAGGUCGAGGGGAAAAGGUUGGCCGUCGGAGGGUUUACGACGAGGCAACAUGCAACUAGAUUAUUCAGUUCUGCUCCUAUUAUUAAACGGAAUGAUGCUUAUACUCUUGAGACAGCAGAUGGCGUUACUGUUGUAGUUCAGGGCAUGAUAAACAAAGAACGUACACAAGAUAAUGGUUUUCCUCUUGAGGUCUGCAAUCAUUUCUUGAUUGGAUUUCCAUAUAACUGGGAUCAUUAUGCUGAUGAAUAUUCUAAUAAGAGAUCAACUUCAACCUCUCCUGGAAAGUUGUCUUCUCUUGAUGAAGCAUUCAAAGACUCAACUAAUAGAACAGCUUCUACAUUUCCAGUUCUUCUGGAUGAGUUUCCUAUAUGUAGGGUCUUAAAUUUUUUUACUUCUGGAGGGGACAAUUUGACAACAAACUUCAGUGAUCAUCUGAAAAAUCUCUCCAUGAGUGCAGCAGAAUCUGAAAUGCAGAAGUCUUCAUCAUAUCUGAUGGAGGGUCUUGGUAAGCAUAACAUGGACAACAAUGAUGGAAAUAUUGUUGGAUCUGCUAGUUCAGUUGAACAUCAUGCUGAGGUUCUUACUUGUUCUAAAGAAGUUGAGUAUUCUAGAAAAAACUUGAAUGAAGGUGGUGGAUAUAGAAUAACUGUGAGCAAGCAGGAGCUGGUAGAUAUGCGAAAGAAAGCAUCUUCAAACAACUCAAGGAAAAUGGAGACAUGCAGUAAUUUAUUUUCCUUCAUUUCAGUUAACAAUAAUAGUACUAAUCAUUUGCAAGUUUCUGUUGAUCAGAAGUUAGAUGCUGAAGGCCGUAAUAACCCAGUGGAGGAGGGACGUAGUAGUAUCUCAAAUAGUCCAUUGUUACAAGAUGUUUCACAUCUUGAUUACAGUGAGAAACUGGGAGAUGAUACAGCAGGAAGGCUAUGCCAUUCCGAUAAAUCAAUAAUAAAUGACACAGAUGGUUUGCCUAUUCCCACAAAUUUGGACAACAAAGAUGCAUAUUCACCUCACGUAAAAAUUGAUGUCAAGUUGAAAAUUUCUGAUGUCAUAGGAACAUUGAAGGCCGGAACAUGGCAGGAAGGAAGUGUUGGAACUAGAUAUGUAGAAGGUGAACUAAAUGGCUUUGAUCACUCCAAAAUAUCUAAACAUUGUUCUACAAGUAAUGAAGGAGAAUCUUCAUCAGACGAGAUAAAUGGCAUGUGUCUUAAUACCUUAGAGAAGAUUAAGAACUGUAAUAUUCCUUCUGUUGAGAAUCCUACUACUCAGAUGUGUUCAACAGUUGAUAUUGGACUAACUGGAGAUUCAGAAAUGGACAUGUGCUGUCAAAAGGAACCUUUAGUGAAGGUUAUUGAAGAAAAAGAAAUAAAGAAGGAUAGCAUUCAGAAACAAAAUCAGGACUGUACUGAGUGCAUUGGCGAAAAAGAUUUUGUGCACUUCUCCGCUUCUGUAGAAAUGAUGCCAUUAGCUGAAGAUAAAUUAACAGGCAAAACUACAUCCACUGGAACUGAAGAGCAGUCAUCAGCUGUUAAGGGUCAUAACUAUCCGUAUGUAAGUGGUACUUGUAAACGUGGUGGAGUUACACUCGGCAUACCUGCUUCUGUUUCUAGGUCAGAGGGCUUAAAAGGCAAAUCAGAGUUCUCAUCUAAAAUGAAAGUCAAAAGAGUUUCUAAAAACUAUGAAGUUGCAAGCACUAAGCUGGAGACAGGAGAGACCAAGCCAAAUCAUCUUAACUCUGAGGAGAAAGGUUUCAAACAUACUUCUGAAUACCAUGCCUCUGUGAAAGGUGACAAUAAGGAUGCAUCGACUGCCAGUCCUGCUCAGGAUCCCACUGAUGUUUCUCAGAUUUGUACUUUUGACUCAUUCAAACAGGAAGUAGGUGCUGACCCUUUAAAAUGCAGAUUGCAGUCAUCGCUUUUAUCGAGUCAUGCUGCCACUAAGGAAUUGGAAAAACAAAAUGGACUUGCUGUUGAUCACAUUGCUAUGGAGAAUAAUAGUCAUUCAAAUGGAUCUCCUAGAUAUUCAACAAAAUAUGCAGUUCAAUCAGAUAUUCCAGUCAUGAAUUACUCUAGUGAAGAUAAAUCAUUGGAAAUGAUUUACAAGACGUUAAUGGACAAAAUGAAUAACCAAGAUGUUCCUAAAGUUUCAGUAGCAGAGGAGUCUAACAAAAUUAAGGGAUCACAUACUUCUAGGAGGAGGAAAAUGUUGAGGCAAGUCUCAUAUGUACACCAAUCACCACUUACCAGGGAUAAGGCUAAGAAGUCAUUUGUGGCCUUAUCUGAAUCUCUUAAUUUUAGAAGAUCUCGGUCAGGCCGAUUGAUCGUUCCACCCCUAGAUAAUGGUUGUCAGCAAAUUAUCUAUGAUGCGGUAUGUAAGUGUUAAUACUUCAAUUGUGGUGCAACUGCUGCAUGUGCAAGCAAGCUCAGCCAUAGGUCCAAGUAAACAUUGAUGGUUCAAUUACUGGGAUUAUGAGUGCUCGUAAUGUGCUGAAUUCUCCUAGCCAAGGAAGCAAGUCGGAGCCUGCAAAAAGAAGAAGAAAAUUAUGAACACUUGACACUCUGUUAUAAAGGCCCGAAGAGCCAACUUUAUGUUUUCCGUCAACACUUCACCUGUCUCGAACCAGUAGGAGCAUCAAUUGGCAAUUCAGAUUUGAGGGCCCGUUUUCCCUUUCGGUCUUGGUAUUUUGAUGCAUAUAAAUUGCAUCUACUGUUGUAUGAUCCCUGAUCUGACAAGAUCCUUUUGAAUCGCAGACGCCGACGGCAACAGUCAUGAAGCAAGGCAUACCUCAUUUGCAAAAAAUGGGGAGCUUCGGUGCCACGUUAGUUUCGUUUUUUCCUUGUUCAGCAAAUAGUAAACUAUGCUUUAACAAACAUGAAGCAAGGCAUACCUCAUUUGCAAAAAAUGGGGAGCUUCGGUGCCACGUUAGUUU